AGGAAGGUGCAGGAAAUACACGGGUAAGAGGAAGGUGCAGGAAACACACGAGUCAGAGGAAGGUGCAGGAAAUACACGGGUUAGAGGAAGGUGCAGGAAAUACACGGGUUAGAGGAAGGUGCAGGAAAUACACGGGUAAGAGGAAGGUGCAGGAAACACACGAGUCAGAGGAAGGUGCAGGAAAUACACGGGUUAGAGGAAGGUGCAGGAAAUACACGGGUUAGAGGAAGGUGCCGGAAAUACACGGGUUAGAGGAAGGUGCAGGAAAUACACGGGUUAGAGGAAGGUGCCGGAAAUACACGGGUCAGAGGAAGGUGCAGGAAAUACACGGGUUAGAGGAAGGUGCAGGAAAUACACGGGUUAGAGGAAGGUGCCGGAAAUACACGGGUUAGAGGAAGGUGCAGGAAAUACACGGGUUAGAGGAAGGUGCAGGAAAUACACGGGUAAGAGGAAGGUGCAGGAAACACACGGGUUAGAGGAAGGUGCAGGAAAUACACGGGUUAGAGGAAGGUGCAGGAAACACACGGGUUAGAGGAAGGUGCAGGAAACACACGGGUUAGAGGAAGGUGCCGGAAAUACACGGGUUAGAGGAAGGUGCAGGAAACACACGGGUUAGAGGAAGGUGCAGGAAACACACGGGUUAGAGGAAGGUGCAGGAAAUACACGGGUAAGAGGAAGGUGCAGGAAACACACGGGUCAGAGGAAGGUGCAGGAAAUACACGGGUUAGAGAAAAAAAGAGUGUAAAAGAAAGGUGCCAAAAAUGCACAGGCAAGUGGAAGAUGCUGGAAACACACGGGGAGGUGUGGUUGCAUACUAAUACAUCACAAAAUCCCAGAUGGCUUCGAACUUAGUGAGCUUCAUAACCAUGAGUUUAAUGAGCUUUUCACUGAUGAAUUUUCCAUAAUGUUGUAGCCAUUACAUGUUCAACAGGAUAGAUUUGUAGAGCACACAAUUCAGAAGAAGGGCCAGAGGCCAGAAUCAAUGUUUUUUCUUAGUUUUUGCAUGAAACCUUUAUUUAAUUACCUGCUUAUAACUCUGCAGCCUCAGGUACCUGGAUCUGUGUCCGUUUCCAGCAUGCACUACUUGGGAAUGGAGCAGCUCUGCUAGAUUCAUUAACACACGUCCUUUCUGAAAAUGUUCAUCCAGGUUAUGAAGAUGACCAAGUAACUUUUAGAUGAUUGUAAACGCCGCCACGAAGUUACUCUGAGGAGCCACUUAAUCUCACGCUAGACCUCAUCCAUAUAUCAGUCUCUAGCCCUGAGGCUUAUUCUAAACGCGACU